GCCUUCGUGGUGUAGUGGUCAGCACGCUCGACCCAUAUUCGAAAGUUCCGUGGUUCCAAUCCCGACGAGGGCA
rnacentral:tRNA from 1 species